AAGACAUAUUGGAGCUUAUUUCUAAGUAUAUAUUAAUUCUAGGCACAUUACGAUUUUUCUCGCACAGGAAUUUUUACAAAGUUGUAAAAUUGAUGUAAAAAAGAUGAAACCAUACUGUAUUUAUAAAACAAAAAUGAACCAAUUGAAUGUAAUCAUUUUCGUUUCAAAUUUGAGAAAUAUCCAAGUUUUUAAUUAAAAAAUAAACGGUAAAAACCUAAUACUAUUACAAAAAUAUCCACAAUACAAGUCAAAAUAAGAAAACACAAUAAAUAAAGAUAGGGACUGCAAAGAAAAUACAUCGAUAAGUCCCUGCCUUUAACUGGACUCUUUAUCUCACAGGUCUUCUUUAUAUUAAAAUGAACACAUAACUCAGAAAAACUGUAAGUAACUUAACUUUACGACUAAGUAGAUGAUUUCAAGUUUCAACUUGUGAACUGUGUUGUUUUAAUUCAGCAGAAGCAAAACCUUCCAUUAGCAACGAUUUGUAGGUUUGUUUUUGUAUAUCAUGCUUCUUUAGAUAAAGGAAAUGCUAAUGCGGGAUCUGUGGAUCCAAUGGUAUUUAAAUGGAGAGAAUGCCAAGACCUGCGGAAGUUCUAUAGACACCAUCAUGACAAAACUAACUACUCUAGUGUAUUGCAAAUAAUGUUCCUUCCUGAAAUAUGCAUACUUUACUGGAGUAUAUAAGUCAACUUACAGUUUUCAUGGGGCACACAUUGACCAGUGCACUUUUUUUUGUGACUGUUGUUUUCCUUUAACCAUUGUGUUACGUAUCUUUCUUUGACUUGUAGUUCUUGACUGCUCUUUUGUCAUCUCCCUUUUUAUACAAUUUUACUUCCUUUCCAAAAGUUAGUAGAUUCAUUGUUGUUUUAGAUUUAUGAACCAAUGAUAAUUCAGUAGCACACAUCAUUGUAUAAAAUCU
rnacentral:lncRNA from 1 species